CAGGCCCUGAAUCAAGGCCAACGGCUUUGCUGUAGCCGAGGGUUUCAAACAGGCGCCCAGAGUAAAUGCUUCUUUCUGUGGUCUGUUGGCUGUCCUGGGCUCACCCCCUGUGGUUCUGCCAAUUCAUCGGAAAGGGACACAC